CAGUCGACGCUGAAGCCUGGUGCUUGCACCGGGUGGAUGAGUGGCGAACGGGUGAGUAACACGUGAGUAACCUGCCCCUGACUUCGGGAUAAGCCCGGGAAACUGGGUCUAAUACCGGAUACGACUGCCGGACGCAUGUCUGGUGGUGGAAAGUUUUUUCGGUUGGGGAUGGGCUCGCGGCCUAUCAGUUUGUUGGUGAGGUAAUGGCUCACCAAGACGACGACGGGUAGCCGGCCUGAGAGGGCGACCGGCCACACUGGGACUGAGACACGGCCCAGACUCCUACGGGAGGCAGCAGUGGGGAAUAUUGCACAAUGGGGGAAACCCUGAUGCAGCGACGCAGCGUGCGGGAUGACGGCCUUCGGGUUGUAAACCGCUUUCAGCAGGGAAGAAGCGCAAGUGACGGUACCUGCAGAAGAAGUACCGGCUAACUACGUGCCAGCAGCCGCGGUAAUACGUAGGGUACGAGCGUUGUCCGGAAUUAUUGGGCGUAAAGAGCUCGUAGGUGGUUGGUCACGUCUGCUGUGGAAACGCAACGCUUAACGUUGCGCGUGCAGUGGGUACGGGCUGACUAGAGUGCAGUAGGGGAGUCUGGAAUUCCUGGUGUAGCGGUGAAAUGCGCAGAUAUCAGGAGGAACACCGGUGGCGAAGGCGGGACUCUGGGCUGUAACUGACACUGAGGAGCGAAAGCAUGGGGAGCGAACAGGAUUAGAUACCCUGGUAGUCCAUGCCGUAUACGUUGGGCACUAGGUGUGGGGGGCAUUCCACGUUCUCCGCGCCGUAGCUAACGCAUUAAGUGCCCCGCCUGGGGAGUACGGUCGCAAGGCUAACACUCAAAGGAAUUGACGGGGGCCCGCACAAGCGGCGGAGCAUGCGGAUUAAUUCGAUGCAACGCGAAGAACCUUACCAAGGCUUGACAUACACCAGACCGUCCUGGAAACAGGUCCUCUUCUUUGAAGCUGGUGUACAGGUGGUGCAUGGUUGUCGUCAGCUCGUGUCGUGAGAUGUUGGGUUAAGUCCCGCAACGAGCGCAACCCUCGUUCUAUGUUGCCAGCACGUGAUGGUGGGAACUCAUAGGAGACUGCCCGGGUCACUCGGAGGA
rnacentral:rRNA from 1 species